rnacentral:rRNA from 1 species
UACGUAGGGCGCAAGCGUUAUCCGGAAUUAUUGGGCGUAAAGAGCUCGUAGGCGGUUUGUCGCGUCUGCUGUGAAAGCCCGGGGCUCAACCCCGGGUCUGCAGUGGGUACGGGCAGACUAGAGUGCAGUAGGGGAGACUGGAAUUCCUGGUGUAGCGGUGAAAUGCGCAGAUAUCAGGAGGAACACCGAUGGCGAAGGCAGGUCUCUGGGCUGUAACCGACGCUGAGGAGCGAAAGCAUGGGGAGCGAACAGG